UGACUAAACCUGUUCACCACCUCCUGUGAAGACGUCCUGUUCUCACACAUUGAGUUUUUUCAAUGUAGUGAACAAGGAGCCUAUAUGACAACCUGGAGGAUUAUUAUGAUGCUUAUUUACGCCGCUGCAGUCAGCAGCAAAGCUGGGGUGGAUUCAGGCCCCUGAGGCUCCUAUGAGGCUGAGCAAUGGAUGCUGAAAGCAGAGAUUCUUCCCGUGAACCUCGGAGAGAAUGUUUGCAUGCCAUGUCAUGGACCUGCAAAAGCACAAAUCGUGUUGGUGGAGUGGACCAGACCAGACCUGGAGUCACCUGAGUAUGUAUUUUUCUUCCGGGAUGAGCGAUCCUACACGUCCUACCAGCACUGGUCCUUUGUGGGUCGGGUGGAGCUGAAGGAUAAAGAGAUGAAGAAUGGAGACGUGUCCCUAAUUCUGAGCAGCGUGAGAAUCAGUGACGUCGGUGUGUAUGAGUGUCGGAUCUCACAAGGAAAGACAAGGUCAAAGAGAGCCAACAUCAAGAUGGAGCCGAUCCAAGUCAUCAGCCUGAAGGUGGAGGAGGAAGGCGCUAAAACCAACGUCUGGCACAUCGGAGCUGCGGCGAGUCUCAUCCUGUCUGCUGUGGUCGUGAUACUUGUUGCUGUGAUCUUCAAAAAACGUAAUAGGGAGCAAAAAUAAAUACUGCACUUCUUUACAACUGUAUACUGUAGGAUAUGACAUAACAGAUUACAGGUUCACAGAUAAUUUCCUGAUUUUGGUGGCAUAAUAAUAUUUUAACAUUUUUCUUUUACUGGAAUUUAAUGAAAAACAGAUUUUUCAUCUUUGUUAAAAUACAAUGUAACUUACUGUAAAUUACUGCUGAUUAUAUGAAUGUUAAAAAAUAAACAGCUGAAAACCUCCA
rnacentral:lncRNA from 1 species